rnacentral:rRNA from 1 species
CCUACGGGAGGCAGCAGUAAGGGAUAUUGGUCAAUGGGGGAAACCCUGAACCAGCAACGCCGCGUGAGGGAAGACGGUUUUCGGAUUGUAAACCUCUGUCCUCUGUGAAGAUGAUGACGGUAGCAGAGGAGGAAGCUCCGGCUAACUACAUGCCAGCAGCCGCGGUAAUACGUAGGGAGCGAGCGUUGUCCGGAUUUACUGGGUGUAAAGGGGGCGCAGACGGCAGCGCAAGCCAGGAGUGAAAGCCCGGGGCCCAACCCCAGGACUGCUCUUGGUACUGGGAGGCUGGAGUGCAGGAGGGGCAGGCGGAAUUCGUGGUGUAGCGGUGAAAUGCGUAGAUAUCAGGAGGAACACCGGUGGCGAAGGCGGCCUGCUGGACUGCGACUGACGUUGAGGCCCGAAAGCGUGGGGAGCAAACAGGAUUAGAUACCCCUGUAGUC